rnacentral:lncRNA from 1 species
GUCGUCUUUGGAAAUUAUUACAAAGUUCAGCUGGAAGUCUCCUUCUCCCUGUGGACCUUCCCCAAUUCCACUGGCUGCCCUCCUCAAGGACCCCUGUGAGAUAAAUUCAGAAAUGGCUAUCCUUGGCUUCCCUGGGGAACAAGAGUGCCUGCAGUUCUUUUCCCACUUCUUUUACUUUUCUAUUUCACUGGGCUCUCUAAAUUCAUUUCAGCUCUAGGGAUUUGGAAAGGAUUCCGUGAUGGUUAAUAUUGAGUGUCAACUUGAUUGGAUUGAAGGAUGCAAAGUAUUGUUCCUGGGUGUGUCUGUGAGGGUGUCACCAAAGGAGAUGAACAUUUGAAUCAGUGAGCUGGGAGACACAAACCCAUACUCAAUCUUGGGGGACACCAUCUAAUCAGCUGCCAGUGCAACUAGGAUAAAAUCAGGCAGAGAAAUUUGGAAAGACUAGACUGGCUGAGUCUUCUGGCCUUCAUCUUUCUCCCAUGCUAGAUGCUUCCUGACCUCGAAUAUCAGACUCCAAGUUCUUUAGCUUUUGGACUCUUGGACCUUUGGCCACAGACGGAAGGCUGCACUUUUGAAGUUUUGGGACUUGGACUGGCUUCCUUGCUCCUCAGCUUACAGAUGGCCUAUUGUGGGACUUCACCUUGUGAUUGUAUCGUGGUCACCAGAUGGCUGUUGCCCUUCCAGGCUUCCAGCUCCUGUGUUCCAGACUGAAGAAGAGGAACAGAAAAAGGGUUCCACCUUGGCAUGGUCAGAAACAGCAGUUGACUAGUGAAGGAGGAAAUGAAUGAACAAAAAGGAAGAUCUCUCUUUUCUACAGCAAGCAGUAGUUUCUCACAGCAUCCAGCAUAGGUUACUCAAGACAAAAAGAGGAGUUUGGAUGAAAUGGCAUAGGGCUGACUACUGGACUAAGAAUUCUGGAUUUUAUUCUGCAAGCUGGUGGAGACACAUCAAAGGUGCUGGAUGCAGAAAGUCCAAGAUCAAGAUGCCAGUGGGAUUGGUUUCUGUGCUACUUGAAGGGGCACCAAAAAAUCAUGAGCCCAGGACAGGACAGAGGUGGAACUUAUUCUCCAGGUGCUCUACUUUGAAGUCAAGGACAUCUUACCAUCAUCCUGGAGAGCUGGAUCCUCCCAGAGU